CAGUGUUCCCCAGAACAAAGUCUUUCCCUAUUAUCUGACUGAGAUUUGAAAGUAAGACUUUAAUAAUUCAAGGCUUCAAAGGCUGGGGUUAGUAGAGGAUGAGAGGUAUCCCUAAUUUCCUAAUCUCAAGGUCCUUCUUUCUGGUAGACCACAAAGGUCAAACCAUGAAUUCUCCUUCCCUUCCCAAGCUAACUUAACCUAAAUUAGGGUAUUAAGGAAAUCAGGACAGGAAUAAGGUAGGUGGUGAAGGUUUUUGAGGGGUACCUGAUCAAAGGCCUUUGAGUACUGCUCCCUCAGGUCCAAUAGGACCUGAAACUCUCUUCUGAAAUUGGUGAAGAUGUCAAGAAACAAUGAAUCUUUUGCUGAGAAGCUCCACAGCUGGUCCUCUGGGCUAAUCUCUGAACUGACUUUUGAAUGAUCUCAAGCAAGGUAACAAUAUCUAUUGCCACCCGGAGAUCUCAGGUCCAAAAGCCACUCUUCUUCUGGGGAUCUCCCCCAGGCCCCAUUGGUUCUUUCCCAGGCUCUUUUGCUCCCAACUCCUACGAUCCACUUCUGUCAGUUGAAACUGUCUCAACAUUCCAAACCUCCUGCUCUUAUACUAGGUAUCCUGCUACUUAUUGGGAAUGUAAAAACAAAAAUGAAGCAAUUUCAUCCUUCAAAAACCUUAUAGGGGGAUGGAGUCAAGAUAACCACUUAGAAGCAGCAAAAGUCAAGACCACUUUGAAAACCCUUCCACAUCAAUCAAAAACAAAGUGCUUUGAAGGGACAGAAAAACAAAUCUAACAACAGGACAGAGCCUGGAGACCCUCUUGCUGAAUUCAACUUAAAAGGGAUGCAGAGAAGGCUGAAUUCUUAGUUUAAGGAAAAGGAAAAAUAAAGGUUACAGGAUCCCUGCAGGCAUCAUUUACUGUGCUGAUCCUCCAGAGGUCACUGGAAUCUUGGGGCAAAAACUCCAGUGUGGAUGGAGCACCUUGCCGGGACACCUGCGGCAAGCUCAACUACAACUGACAGGGAGGUAGUUGUGGGAGAGGAGCAGAGGGGAGGGCAACCUAGUCAGAGCCACUACUCUCCAUCUUGGCUUCCAGUUCUCAAAGUUUUGACCUCAGGGCACAUCUAGCUCUGCAGAUCAGCUACUCCCCAGCUCAAUCUAGUCUAUCAAUUGGGCAGGAAAGAAGCCUUCAGAGGACAGGGAAGUUCAAUCUCCAACACAUUUCCUCUACAUAUUGCACUGAGAGCCUCACUAAGAAUCCAGCUGACUUAGAUUCCAGGGCAAAGGCUGCAACUGAGACAGAAUACCUUUAUAAAAGGGCAGGAAGCCCAAUUCCCUUCAGCCUUGACACUUUUAUCUUCAUAUUCAGCUACUGAAACAGAGGCACAUGAACUAAAUCAAGAAAAUAGUGAGUUGACACAGGCUUUGGAAGAACUCAAAACACAAUUCAAAAAACAAUUAAGAGAGACUGAAGACAGAUGGGAAAAGAACUUAAAAAGCAAAGUAAGUCAUCUGGAAAAAGAGGCACAUGAACUAAAACAAGAAAAUAGUGUCUUGAAAACCAAAAUUGACCAGCUUGAAAACAAGGCCAAGAAAGUGAAAGAUGACCUACAAAGAAAAGCAGACCAGAAGGUAAAACUGGAGAUUGAAAGAAUCCAUAGAUCACCUGCUGCAUUUAAUUCCCAAUUGACAAUGGCCAUGAAUGUUAUAGCCAAGUUCAAGAAUGACCAGAUCAAGGAAAAGAUAAUAUAAGUUGAGAAGAAGAAGAAGCUAUUCAGAUAUCAUGGAACCACAGUUAGGAUAACACAGGACCUGGCUGCAUCCACACUGAAGGACCAUAAGACAUGGAAUUCAUGUUCUGGAAAGCAAAAGAACUGGAUCUACAACCAAGAAUCAACUACCCAGCAAAACUGACCAUAUUCUUACAGGGGAAGGUAUGGUCAUUUAACAAAAUAGAAGACUUCCAAGAAUUCCUAAAGAAAAGACCUGACUUAAACACUAAAUUUGAACCCCUAACACAGAACUCAAGAGAUUCAUUAAAAGUGGAAGACUACAUAAGUCAUGGAGAGGAUACAGUCGAUAUUACUGGAGGGAUGACCUACAUUGAAGAAAUUAUGGUGCUUGAAAUUCUCAACCUUGCCUGCCAGAGCUAUGGUAUUUGCCUGCCCUUUCCUGUUUUGGAUGACAUCUCUGGACCUGUCCUUUUGCCUGCUGACUAGCCUGUGGAAUCUUCUGGACCCUUCUAGCAUGAUUUGGUGCAGUGGUUCCAAAUGCAUUGGCUGAAAAAAAAAUAUGGCCCCUGGGUGGGGCACAUAGUUAAAGCAGGGGCCUAUGAAUCCAUCCAUAUGUGGACCUAACAUCAUUUUCUAUCUUUAUUUAGCUACAACAAAAUAUGCUUACUAAUAUAAAUAAGCAAAUGUAUCUUAUAUAGACUAAAUUUAAAGUGUAUUGCAAACAUAUAGAAAGAGCUAUUUUUCAAAUAUAUGUAGGUAAUAUUGUGAUGAAUAAAAAAUUCAUUUAAAAGUGUUAAUACAUGCAUAGCAGCUUUUUAUAAUAUGCUUUUUCAAUUAUAUGGUAAUGGCACAAUUACAAUCAUCUGGGAUAAAAACUCCGAAUUAAUUUGAUAUUACAAGGGGUUUCAAACUCCAAUAGUUUGGAAACCAAAGGGGUAGGGAAAGAACACUAUGUUUGGUGUCAGAAAUUCUGUGUCUAAAUCCUGUUUCAUGUCUGGGACUUAUGUGACUGCUUUGUAGUAGGGUUCUUCAUCUGCAAAAUGAGCAUUUUGGAUUAGGUGAUCUCUGCUCCCUUCUUGUUCUAAAUACUAUGAGAUUCUAUUUCAAACUUUUUUUUUUCUUUGUAGUCCUUCCCCAUUAUUCCCUUUCUUCUUCUUCUAAGCUGAAGAUUUUGCUUUGUAUGUCAAUGCAGAAAAUUAAGGUUAGAAUUUGAACCAAAAACUUCCACCUCCAAAUAAAGUAAUGAUUGCUUAGAGCUCUCCCCCACUCCUCUUCCCUUCAUUUCAAAUUCCUCUGUCUCAAUUCCCCAGUUAUCUCCUGUUUCACUUCAGUUUCUGAUAAAUAGGUUGAUAUACUUGCCAUGACCAUCCCUACUACUUGAACCACUAAG